rnacentral:rRNA from 1 species
UGGGGGAUAUUGCACAAUGGGGGAAACCCUGAUGCAGCGAUGCCGCGUGGAGGAAGAAGGUUUUCGGAUUGUAAACUCCUGUCGUAAGGGACGAAGAAGUGACGGUACCUUACAAGAAAGCUCCGGCUAACUACGUGCCAGCAGCCGCGGUAAUACGUAGGGAGCGAGCGUUGUCCGGAAUUACUGGGUGUAAAGGGAGCGUAGGCGGGAUGGUAAGUCAGAUGUGAAAACUAUGGGCUCAACCCAUAGACUGCAUUUGAAACUGCUGUUCUUGAGUGAAGUAGAGGUAAGCGGAAUUCCUAGUGUAGCGGUGAAAUGCGUAGAUAUUAGGAGGAACAUCGGUGGCGAAGGCGGCUUACUGGGCUUUUACUGACGCUGAGGCUCGAAAGCGUGGGGAGCAAACA